rnacentral:rRNA from 1 species
UCCUACGGGAGGCAGCAGUGAGGAAUAUUGGUCAAUGGUCGGGAGACUGAACCAGCCAAGCCGCGUGAGGGAUGAAGGUACAGAGUAUCGUAAACCUCUUUUGUCAGGGAACAAAGGCGGGGACGUGUCCCCGGAUGAGUGUACCUGAAGAAAAAGCAUCGGCUAACUCCGUGCCAGCAGCCGCGGUAAUACGGAGGAUGCGAGCGUUAUCCGGAUUUAUUGGGUUUAAAGGGUGCGUAGGCGGGACCUUAAGUCAGCGGUAAAAUUGCGGUGCUCAACGCCGUAGAGCCGUUUAAACUGGGGUU